UACGGAGGAUGCAAGCGUUAUCCGGAAUGAUUGGGCGUAAAGCGUCCGCAGGCGGCUAUGUAAGUCUGCUGUUAAAGAGUGAGGCUCAACCUCAUAAGAGCAGUGGAAACUACAUGGCUAGAGUGCGUUCGGGGCAGAGGGAAUUCCUGGUGUAGCGGUGAAAUGCGUAGAGAUCAGGAAGAACACCGGUGGCGAAGGCGGGUCUCUGGACAGUUCCUGACACUGAGGCACGAAGGCCAGGGGAGCAAACGGG
rnacentral:rRNA from 1 species